UUUUUAGUGUAAUUAUGCUUCAUGCAAUAUUUGGGACAUACUUACACUAAAA
rnacentral:pre_miRNA from 1 species